AGAGAAAGAAGCGGCUGUCACAAAGGCCAGACCCAAAUGCCAUGUUAAGAGAUGGAUGAAGACUAGGAACUGUAGAGAAGGGUAGAACCAGUGUUAACUUCAGCUGAUGUACAUGCUUCUGCCAAAUAAAACUGCACAGCAGUAAAACAGGCAGAGAAGAAAGAAUCAACAGCAAAGGUAGAACUGGAACCAUGGAAAUCUCCAGGAGAGAGAUGAGGAAACUGAGGUGAAGGAGAAUAUGUAAUUUGCUCAUGGUCCACAGCCUACAUUCUUCAGUAUGUGCAGGGAAGACCUGGUGGGAUCUUCACUAUGGGGCCAAAGCAGGUUGGUUCAGUUUCCAUUUGGAGAGCAUAGGUGGAGUCAGGUGGUUUGAGGGUCAUUUGUGGUGUAUCAGUCAACCAGCAAUGAAUAGUACGUUGUAUUUUCCAGCCUACAGUUUUGUCAUCCUAUGGACAAUUCCUCUCAGAGGAGGAAGAAAAGAGGGGUGAUCAGGGAGAGUGCUCGCACGGGGACAGAAGUGGGUGGAUUUGGAAUUAACGUGAACAGCCGACAUUUCACUUCCAUACAGAACUACACUGGGAUAAUUUUUAAAAAUUAAAAUUAAUAAAAAUUCUAAAACUUUGCAAGGAUAAAUUAAAGGAACUUGGAUAAUUUUGCUACGGGCCAAUGAAGCCAUAAAAUUGGUAGAGUUUGCCAAGAUGUGGAAUAUUUUUUACUUUCUUCCUAAAAGAACUCUAACAUAAAAACCAUCUGGUGUCCAUAUUUCCCAGAUCAAGGCGGGGUCUAGGUAGGAUGAGGCAGUGAAUGGAAGAAGCACUGACCCAGAGGCAGGAGAAUGGGUCUAGGCCCAUCUUGAAGAAAUAAUUUUAUACUUCCAGCCUCGGCUUCCCUUCUGUAAAAUAAACCUGUUGGAUUACCUCCAAAGUCCUUUAAACAGUAAAAUUCUAUUACUCUCUAACAAGUUUGCUCAAAGAACACAUAAGUAUUUUUUAAAUAGUAAAAGGUUAUAGAAAGUUAAUUUUUGAGUUCAUUUUCCCCUGAGUCUGGGCCCUGGCUCCGCCUCUCACCAGCUGCCUCUGCUGCUGUCUACAAAAGCCUGAGGCAGGAACCCACCUCUUUCUUAAAUGGCAGAUGAAAUUGCUCCUCUUGAAUGAAGACAAUCAGUAGCUACAAGGUAAUGGUGAGAGACUGUAUACCUAGGAAAGGUUCCCUCCCAGCAUGGACAGAGAACUAGGAAAAACAUUGGGAGAGUUUAAUACUUCCUUUAAUAAGAAAGGAAGUAUUUUGGAGAAAUCUUGACUGGAAAGCAAAUCUCCCUCUAUCCCUGAAGUCUUUAUCCAGGAACAGUGUUCAAGAAUCUCUGUGUUGCAAAUGUGGAAUGCAGUUUUGGUAUUCUCCUGCCUCGCAUGUAUGUUUCAUCAACAGGCCGGUGACCAGCUCAAAAAGCCUCAAGUGCUGCCCAAUUUCAGGACUGCCUGUCAUUUCUACAACCUAUGACUCUAGUUCAUGCAGCUGAGUUCAGCAUGGCCGUGGCUAAACACUGAGUCCUGACAUUUACAAUCCACCGCUGAGCUUCUUGGGCAAAAUGAGGCCCUUUCUUUUACUCACACGUCAGUUGCUUUGGGGGACUCCCAAGACUGAAUGUUUUCUAUCUGCCAUUUCUCCGCAGCUUGGCUAUUCCCUGCUGUUAUCUUUGGCUCUGUUGCUAUGGGCGGAAUAUUUUUUUGUCCUAGCUUAAUAACUGCUUAGCUGCCAGAGGUGCUCAUUUCUCAUUGUAUUGGUGGAGGAUUAGCGGAGAUGUUUGGGAGAUAUUUCCUGUAUUAAGCAGCAGGGGAGAGCUUGCUGGGCCGAUGCCUUCUUUUGACAUAGCGUCACACUUUUCCUUUUUUCCACUUUCUCUCUUGGAAUGUGCUGAGGCCAGUUAUUUGCAUCCAGAGCGGCAACUCCUCCCUGACACUUCGCAGAUCUCCAUCCCUUUUCCAGGUGCCCUUGCAGAAACACUUCUUGGGGAGGCUGUAGUGAGUCCCAGGCAAUCAUCUCGGUUGGUUUUCUUUCAUAGUUGGGGCUCAGCAGUGUCCUGUAUCACCAACUUACUUUGCAGGCUUAAUUGCCUGGAAACCUAUUCCAUACUUCACAUUUUUUUACAAUUAACUCACCAGCCUUCUAUUAGAGCCACCAUCUCACCCACAAUUAACUUGAAUCGGGUAAUCUGUAUUGCCUGAGAGUAUAAGAUACAAAUUUGCAGCUCUGUCCAGAACUCUAACUGCUCAUAGAUUUUUGGCCCUUGUGUCUGCUUGGGACAAUCCUCAAAAGACUGAGAAAAGCUGUCUAGAAAAAUUAUCAAAGGGAGACAGAAAUCUAUGAAUUUUUGGUUCUUGGUCAGAUUGCGAUAGAGAAGAAUAAAUGCUAACAAUUUCACUGGAAGUCAUUACUAAGAGUUUGGUGAUGUCACAGGGAUGUGACACAGCCUGGCCCGGGUUUGUCUUUUGAGGCCACCUCUUAAAAGCUCUGGGAAUUUUGGUGAGUCACUUUGCCUCUCUUCCCCACAAUUUUCUUGUCUAUAAUAUGGGGAUAGUUCUGACUCAUAAAGUUGUUGUGAGGUGUAAAUUUUGGAAGAUCCUGUAAACUAUAGACAUAAUAUUCUUAGAAUUAGGUGAGAAUGUAUGUGAAAACAUUUGCAAACUGCAAAGAACUGUACAAGUGUUAAUAGCUGUAGGUCCUACAAUGAAAACAUAAUAAAAUUUUUUAUCACACUUCAAAGUGUUGGGAGAACCAUUUUCUCCUUGCAGUGGGUAUUUAUCCUUCUGUUAAAAUACGAUCUUAAUCGCUUCCUAACUUGGAGGAAUCUCUCACUGUUUGAGGCACAGCCCACCUCCUGCCUGCCAGGUGCUGUGUCCCCAACCCAGGGCAUGGAACUAGGGCAUCAUAACCCAGGCUCAGCCAGUCAGAAGCAGAUGCUCAAGGCUUUGUUCCAGAAGCUGGCUGUCCAAAGGAAAGAGACUGCAGCAAGUCCAUUCUGGCUGUAGGAGGAUAGGGUUGACCAUAAUGUCUGGUUUCUGGACACAGAGUUGGUAGCAGAUCUAGAGUGGCAUCUGUCAUUCACUCUGGCAUUCAUCAUUCACUCUGGCCAGCUUGGUUGCUGUGAGCAGUGGGGGGCCAUCGUGCCUUUAGUUCAGUGGGUGAUUUGGGGUGUCAUUCCUGCUGCCUUACCUCCCAGCCUGGCUUUGUUGACAACGCAGAGAUUCCCUAAGCUGCCCCAAAUCCCUUUAUAUAAAACUGUAUUAUGGAAAAUUCCAAACAUACAGAAAAUUGAAAGGAAUAGAAUAAUGAACUCCUGUGUAUCUAUCACCCCAUUCCACAAUUAAUAUUUUGCCAAUUAUUUUACCUGUUUUUUGUCCCCCUCCUCACCUGUUUGGUUUCUUGUUUUCAUUUCUUUUCUUGUCUUGUUUCUUUGGUUUGGUUUGGUUUCUUAUUUUUUGCUUUGUUUUGUUUUUGUUUGUUUGGGGGCAUUUUUUUGUUUGUUUUUGCUGAAAUACUUUAAAGUAAGCCCAAAAUCUCAUGUUAUUUCACCCAUAAAUAUCUCAGUGUGUGUGUGCCUUUCUAACUGAUAAGGACUGUUUUUACCAUAACCAUCAUGCCAUUUUCCACCCACCAGGAUUAACAGUAAUGCUCAGUAUAUCCCAAUAUUCAUUUCUGUUCACAUCAGCAAGAAAUGCUUUCUCUUUCUUAUAAGACCCUGACUUACAUACUUCUCUUAUCCAUAAAAUAGAUACUUCUGCCUCUGAAUGUUUUCAGAAGAGUAACUUCUGCUCCUCUCUCUCCCAACCUUGUGGAGGAGUGACCUGAUGGCUAAAUUGAGAAUAGAACUGCAAUUCAUGGUUCUCUCUCUGUAAGUAACUGUCUGCCCACAAAGCAGCUGUGUUCCACCCGGCUUCAGCUUCCAUGGGCUGAGCACACUGGGUCAGGCCCGAGGCCCACCUUGCAGGCUGAGUCUGGAGGAAAAUCUCUGUCCUUGAGGAGUGUGAGGAAGUGAUUCUGAGUAAACAGAGGUAUUCUCUAAAUUCAAACUGUUCCUUAAUACACGCCAACAUGAGGUCUUGGAGUAAAGCCACUCAUCCAUCCUGCAGUCUCUAAUGUUAUCAGCCACAUCGUUGAUCUUCUAUCUCUCUUUAUUUGAUUUCAGCACUGGGGAGAUUAUUUAUAAUUUAGGGAAGAGGAAGAAAAAGCAAUAUCAUUUAUAAGCCACCAACUUGAACAUACACAAAAUAAUUCAACAGUCAUUGCUACAAAGCAAACACACUGUUAAGGACCAGUGACACACAAAAGAGUAGAGCAGCAUUCCUGCCCUAAAGAGCCAUCAGCUACAGCUGUGACAGGCCCAGGAAUCGCAGUGAAGUGGAAGCUACCCUACGGGAUGCUGGGAGCACAGUGUGGGAGCAGGUCCACAGAGGUAGGGCAUCAGUGAGAGCAAGGAGGACGCAGGCAUCCCACGCAGAGAAGAGCCAUGUCCCAGAGCCAGGAGAAGGCGGCAAGGAGCAGUGAGGGGCUUGGUGCUGUCCAGGGACUAGUAGAGGAGAGAGAGGCCAGCCUGGGUGAGGAAGAAGCCCUUGUGCUCAUCCAAGAAACUGGAGAUGCAUUUUAAAAGCAAAGGAGUGACACUAAGGUAUACAAACAGAGACAAGUUUUAAAAGAUCUUUUUAGCAGAGAUAUGGAGGAUGAAUGUAUAGAGACAUAAGACAAGGGUCUGGAAGCACACUUGGGAGCCUGUCGACAACAAUACAAGCAAGAUGCAGGAAAGCUCUAGCAAAAUGGGGAGGGCACACAUUCAAGAGAUGCUCUGGGGGUUGGAUUAAUGUGCUGCUUUUUCCAAGAAAGAAUUUUUAUGUAAAUAGGCACGGGGUAGAGCAAGAUUUUUUUAAAAUUAGAAGUAGAAGGCAAAGAGAAAACAAGGGUAGGGACAUAAAUGGAGCCAGGAGUGAGAUUAGCACAUUAUGUUGUUUGUGUGUUUAUGUAUGUAGGUAUGUGUGUGUGCAUGUGUAUGCAUGCAUGUGUGUGUGUCUGUAUGUGUAUUUGUGUGUGUGUAUGCAUCUGUGUAUGUGUGCAUAAUGACAAGGAAGGGAUCACAGAUUUGGCUCUCAGCUCUCUAGCAGUCAACACCAACAGGGAAGAAUCCUUCACACACAUCACAAUGUUUAGAAGAUAAAAGUAAACCAGUUGUUCAGAAGAACAACUAUUGCUGAAUCUAAAGCCAAAACAAAUUUAUCUUGAGAGACCUCGCAGAGAGGAUAUGUAUAAAGUAAUGAUAUCCUCAGCAACAGUCUUAAUGCGAACAAAAUUAUUUCAAAGGAUGUUUCUCCCAAUCAUCUUUACUAUCCAACCAAACGGUAAACUGAAGAGAGUCAGCAUGGAGCAAUUGUGGCAGAAUUGGAAAUUAAAUACCACACGUUCAGAUGCUCUUGAUCUCAUCUUCUUCACAAGUUCUCUCCCAUCUAAGCAGUGGGGAUGGGGAAAACAUACAAACUGUCAAUUAAUGACAUAUUUUUUUAAAUAACAGUUUUAUUGAGAUAUAAUUUACCUAUCAUACAACUGACCUAUUGAAGAAGGCAUACAACUCAAUGGUUUUUCAUAUAUUCAGAGUUGUGCAAUCAUCACCACAAUCAAUCUGAGAACAUUUUUAUCCCUGAAACAAGAAACCCAUACCCAUAGCUGUCACUGCCUCCACCUUCCCCUCCCCCAUACCAAGGCAACCAAUUGUCUACUUCCUGUCUCUAUAAAUUGCCUAUUCUGGACAUUUCAUAUAAAUGGACUCACACAAUAUGUUUUCUGUAUGUGUGACUGGCUUCUUUGACUUCCUGCUUUCAAAGUUUUUCAGGCUGUAGUAUGUAUCAAUUCUUUAUUCCUAUUAUUGCUAAAUAAUACUCUGUUGUGACAAAGGGCAUUUUGGUCUCCUCUGGUUCCAACAGGCUCCCUGGGGUAACUGGGUCUUUCAGGCCAGGGUGCAGCUCUCCAGGUUUCCUCUUCGAGGCUUUGCACCUCCCAAGAAGGUGUUUAGGGAUGUGGGAGUGGGGGUGGUAUGGGACACCUCGCGGCCUCACAGUGCUUUUGGGUCAGUGCUGGCAGGUCUGAUUCCGAGCUCCGGACUCUCUGGUCCCAAGGCACCCAGCUGCCUUUCAUGGCAACCGUCUGCACUGCCCAUCACCCAUUCCGCUCAGAGAGCUCUCCAUUUGAACAGCCUGCCUUAACCCCUGUGGCCACGGCUGAUCCCUCGCUCCUGGCCCCUCUGAGCUCACUCACAUGGUCCAUUUUUGCACCCUGCUAACCCUGUGCCCCAUGGCGUGCAGGGGGUCCCAGAUCACCCCAUGUCCCGCAGGAGUGAGGACCGCUCAGGAGCAAUGCCGCCGUGCCGUCCCCUGCUAGCUCACAGCCAUCCAUGCAGCCGACCCCUGGGCUCUGAUGAGGCCUGCGCAGCCCCCACCCUCUGUGCUUUGCACGCCUCCCUGGGAGGCACUAGCAUCACUGUCCUCUGGGCUUCAGCCCCGUGGGAAGAAGGCAGGACUCGUGGGUCACAGGCCUCCUUUCUAUUUCAUUCCUCACUGGACCACAGAGUUGGGCCUUCUCUCCUCUCUUGGGGUUUGAGGACUUCCAUUAGGAUAUGGAUCCUGAAAUCUCUCUAGACUUGACUUACAGUAAAUUAAAUAUGCUUCUAUAGACCAAACUUUUUCCAUUCAUUCGUUGGCAGAGAUUUAGGUUGUCUCCAUGUCUUGACUAUUGCAAAUAAGGCAACGAACAUGGGACUGACGCUAUCUCUCAAGAUCCUCAUUUUCUCUGCAUGUACACCCAGUGGUGGGCUCUUACUCAGCGUUAAAAAGAAGGAGAUCCUGCCAUUGGCAACAACAUGGAAGAACCUGGAGGACAUUGUGCUAAGUGAAACAAGCCAGGCACAGAAAGACAAGCCCCACAUGACUUCAUGUACAUGUGAAAUCUUAAAAAGCCAAACUUAUAGAAACAGAGAAUAGAACGGUGGUUGCCAGGGCUGGAAGGAGGGGAAAUGGGGAGAUGUUGGUCAAGGAGUACAAAGUUUCAGUUACUGAAGAUGAAGAAGUUCUGGAGACUCAGUGCACAGCAUGGUGACUAUAGUUAAUAAUACUGUAUUAUAUACUUGGGAUUUACCAAGAGGGUACAUCUUACCUGCUCUCAUCAUAACAAACAAAAAAGAAAAGAAAAAAGACAAAAAUGGUAACUGUGAGCUAAGGAAUGUGUUAGUUUGAUUGUUGUGAUCAUUUCAGUGUGUGUGUGUGUGUGUGUGCGUGUGUAUAGAAAUGAAGUUGUAUACCUUAAAGAUACACAAUUUUAUUUGUCAAUUAUACCUCAAUAAAGCUAAAAAUUUCAAUAUUUAGCCCCAGCAACCCUGGCUUUUGAUAUGUUAUUGGUAUUUUAACAAAUUUAAGGAAAAAUUUCUUUGGAGACUAAUCUUUUUAGGAACUCAACAAUCCUAUUUUGGUAGUUAAAUUGUGAAUAUUGACCCCUUUUUCUCCAUUUUUCUGUUAUAAUAAUAGAACUUCCUUCCCAUCACCAGUUUGGAUAUAGAUGCUGUAGCUGGCUAAACUGGGAGAAAUUAUGUACAUGGAAAUAUGAAAAAGAAAAGCAAAUAUUAUAAUUUCUAUCACAAACUUCCUAGAGGUAGGAAAGGGGCAAAUCUGAAAAAUGGAAUCCUGAGGCUGUUUGUUCAGAUGCACGAGGGUGAAAGAUGAGUGAAAAAUGACUGACAGUUUCUGAUUUAGGUGAGUAGGUGGCUACCACAAACCAGGGUAGGAAUAGAAGAGGGUUGGAGAAAAAUACUGGUCUACACUGGGGCAUGUGGCUACAGGGCAAGGAGCCAUGGAAACUGAAGGAAACUUGGACUGGACAUCAGAGACCAUAGGAGCUGACCUGUAGAGCCCCUUGACUUUACCGGUUAGGUUCAAAAGCUAACCACCAAAUACUAGGGCUAGUGCUUCUUUCAGUGUGCUACCCUCCUCUCUUCUUUCUUCAUCAGUCCUGAGGCAAGCAGGCCCACGCUGCUAAUCCCAAGUUGACCCAGGAGUACACUAAGGCUUGGACAGUUUAGUUGAUCUACCCAAGAACACAGGAACACUCCUGACUUCCAGCCCAGUGUGGUUUCCAUUAGACAUUCUUGCCAUGGCAUGAAAACCACAAUGAGGUCAGGCAGAUAGCUCUGCAACCUGGAACUCUGAGUGAAAUCGGUUAUGACUGCAGCUGACAUACACGGCCCCAUACAGCCCAGCAAGGAAGGGGGCAAAGGUCACACCAAGUCAGGACAGAGGCUGUGCCUCUGCUGUGUUCAGGAAACCUUGAGACAAAUUUCUUCUCCAAUAACAACUCCCUGAUGUAAACUAACCAAAAGAAAGCAAACCCAAGUUUCUGCAUAUUUUAAUUGUUUUGUAUGAUUUUUGCUGGUCUUAGAGUGCUUGUGAGUCAGAAGCAAUUUCAGGAAAUGCUGCCCAUGUCACCAGCUGGAAUCCAGGCUCCUGUUCUGCAAGAGCUUUCAGAUGCAGGCACAUGUUUGAGCAUGCGUGCACACACACACACACACACACACACACACACACAAGCUCUCACACAUGCCUACACUCACAUUCACAAACUGGCACAUUCACAUACACUCACAGGCAUACACACACACGUAAACUCAUAUACACAUACAUUCCCACAUGCAGUGGCACACAAAUUCACAUACAUACACAUACUCACAUACUUAUACAAACACACAUGCUCAUAUAUACUCUCACAUAAUACACACAAACCCACAUACACACACCCAAUCAUACUCCCUCAUAUACACACAUACAUUCGCAUACAUACUCAUGCACUCACACAUACCCACACACGUGCACAUGCACACACGUGCAAACACACAGAGCCAAGACUUAGCUGUGGCCAAGUCUUCCUGACACUAAAUAUAAGCAUGAUAUGCUCGGUGCAAAAGGCACUUGUUGCAUGAGAAUUGAAACUGGAUCAAGUCCACUGAUUAUUUAGCUAUUUCCAAAUAUCUGCAUGUUUUGCUUUGUGGACAUCUGAAUAGUUGGCGGGGGCAAGCUUUUCUCUGUACCUCCUUCCCUCUGGGGAUGUGUGAAUCAGUUGUUCCUAACCAUCCCUUCCCACCAAGCCAUAGCAGUGGGAAGUGAGGUCAGUUAACUGUCUCCGUUGCAAAAGGUACACAUAAAAUUGCCGAUUUGAAGGACGGGGGACUGAAGGGACUUUGCAAAGUGACAGCUGCAGCCCCCUGUCUCAGCAGGGGCCAUCCUUCCGGAGGAAGAGAAGCCGACAGCCCUCCCUACUCCCUCCCCACUUUCUCAUAAGUCCUCAACAAAGGUCUGGAAGCCUUCACACCUUCUAGUCUUUCCACAGGGGUACAUCCCAGGCCACAUCACACUUCCACAGGGACUUUGGAUCUCUGCCGAAUCCAGGAGCCUAGGAUACAGUGAUGGCUCUCUGUCUAUGGGAACAAAAUUCUUUCUGUAAAAUGUGAUACAACAUAAUAAACAAAGGGUAUACAAAAGCAA